AACGGUCUAUACCUGCGGUACCUGCGGAGGGAUCAUUACUAAAAACGAGUUCUUGAAAAGAGUUGUAGCUGGCCUUCUAUGAGGCAUGUGUAACACUCUACUCAUCUACUCUAUAAAUCCUAUGUGCAGAAGUCGCAAAGACUUAGUGUGUAAUAAUAUAUGUGGUUUAUUAUAUUUAUAUUGAUCUAAAGUUCGCAAGACUUGGAUUAAUAGCACACUUUUUCUUAUGCGCAUUUUUUU
rnacentral:misc_RNA from 1 species